rnacentral:rRNA from 1 species
GACGAACGCUGGCGGCGUGCUUAACACAUGCAAGUCGAACGGAAAGGCCCUGCUUCUGUGGGGUGCUCGAGUGGCGAACGGGUGAGUAACACGUGAGUAACCUGCCCUUGACUGUGGGAUAACUUCAGGAAACUGGGGCUAAUACCGGAUAGGAGCUUCUCCUGCACGGUGGGGGUUGGAAAGUUUCGGCGGUUGGGGAUGGACUCGCGGCUUAUCAGCUUGUUGGUGGGGUAGUGGCUUACCAAGGCUUUGACGGGUAGCCGGCCUGAGAGGGUGACCGGCCACAUUGGGACUGAGAUACGGCCCAGACUCCUACGGGGGGCAGCAGUGGCGAAUAUUGCACAAUGGGCGGGAGCCUAAUGCAGCAACGCCGCGUGCGGGAUGACGGCCUUCGGGUUGUAAACCGCUUUCGCCUGUGACGAAGCGUGAGUGACGGUAAUGGGUAAAGAAGCACCGGCUAACUACGUG